GACGAACGCUGGCGGCGUGCUUAACACAUGCCAGUCGAACGGAAAGGCGCUGCUUUUGUGGGGUGCUCGAGUGGCGAACGGGUGAGUAACACGUGAGUAACCUGCCCUUGACUUUGGGAUAACUUCAGGAAACUGGGGCUAAUACCGGAUAGGAGCUCCUGCUGCAUGGUGGGGGUUGGAAAGUUUCGGCGGUUGGGGAUGGACUCGCGGCUUAUGAGCUUGUUGGUGGGGUAGUGGCUGACAAAGGCUUUGACGGGUAGCCGGCCUGGGAGGGUGACCGGCCACAAGGGGACUACGGGACGGCCCAGAAGCGUACGGGAGGCAGUAGGGGGGAAUAUUGCACAAUGGGCGGAAGCCUGAUGCAGCAACGCCGCGUGCGGGAUGACGGGCUUCGGGGUGUAAACCGCUUUCGCCUGUGACGAAGCGUGAGUGACGGUAAUGGGUAAAGAAGCACCGGCUAACUACGUG
rnacentral:rRNA from 1 species